rnacentral:rRNA from 1 species
AGUGAACGCUGGCGGUAGGCCUAACACAUGCAAGUCGAACGGCAGCACAGUAAGAGCUUGCUCUUACGGGUGGCGAGUGGCGGACGGGUGAGGAAUACAUCGGAAUCUACUUUUUCGUGGGGGAUAACGUAGGGAAACUUACGCUAAUACCGCAUACGACCUACGGGUGAAAGCAGGGGAUCUUCGGACCUUGCGCGAUUGAAUGAGCCGAUGUCGGAUUAGCUAGUUGGCGGGGUAAAGGCCCACCAAGGCGACGAUCCGUAGCUGGUCUGAGAGGAUGAUCAGCCACACUGGAACUGAGACACGGUCCAGACUCCUACGGGAGGCAGCAGUGGGGAAUAUUGGACAAAGGGCGCAAGCCUGAUCCAGCCAUACCGCGUGGGUGAAGAAGGCCUUCGGGUUGUAAAGCCCUUUUGUUGGGAAAGAAAAGCAUCAGGUUAAUACCCCGCUGUUCCGACGGUACCCAAAGAAUAAGCACCGGCUAACUUCGUG